rnacentral:rRNA from 1 species
AUGCCGAGAGGUGAAAUGAAUUUCGCCUGAGGAUGAGCCCGCGUCUGAUUAGCUAGUUGGUGAGGUAAGAGCUCACCAAGGCAUCGAUCAGUAGCUGGUCUGAGAGGAUGAUCAGCCACACUGGGACUGAGACACGGCCCAGACUCCUACGGGAGGCAGCAGUGGGGAAUUUUCCGCAAUGGGCGAAAGCCUGACGGAGCAACGCCGCGUGAGGGAUGAAGGCCUCUGGGCUGUAAACCUCUUUUAUCAAGGAAGAAGAUCUGACGGUACUUGAUGAAUAAG